AUCGAACGCUGGCGGCAUGCCUUACACAUGCAAGUCGAACGGCAGCGGGGGAGAAGCUUGCUUUUCCUGCCGGCGAGUGGCGAACGGGGGAGUAAUACAUCGGAACGUGCCCUGUAGUGGGGGAUAACUAGUCGAAAGAUUAGCUAAUACCGCAUACGACCUGAGGGUGAAAGUGGGGGACCGCAAGGCCUCAUGCUAUAGGAGCGGCCGAUGUCCGAUUAGCUAGUUGGUGGGGUAAAGGCCUACCAAGGCGACGAUCAGUAGCUGGUCUGAGAGGACGAUCAGCCACACUGGGACUGAGACACGGCCCAGACUCCUACGGGAGGCAGCAGUGGGGAAUUUUGGACAAUGGGCGAAAGCCUGAUCCAGCAAUGCCGCGUGUGUGAAGAAGGCCUUCGGGUUGUAAAGCACUUUUGUCCGGAAAGAAAUGGCUCUGGUUAAUACCUGGGGUCGAUGACGGUACCGGAAGAAUAAGGACCGGCUAACUACGUGCCAGCCGCCGCCGUAA
rnacentral:rRNA from 1 species